UGCUCUUCAGAUCUGGACACUAUUUAAGGCUGCACUGACAUCUAGGACCUUCAGUCUGACCGACACAGACCAAUUUCUGAGAGAAGAGAUGGAGACCUUUCUUUCUUUGUUGCUCCUGAUUUGCUCUGUCUCUGCAGCUCAGCUCAC